AGGGAUUUAGCUUAGCGGCAUAAGCGCCUGCCUUGUAAGCAGGCAAUUCGAUCCCUG
rnacentral:tRNA from 1 species